UGCUAAUGCAAAAUUUGAUCGAAAUGUGCACGUACUGAUCCAAUUCUCAUCAGUAGGUCUAGUGGUGUGAUGUAAUACUCGACGACAAUGCGGCUGGCGCUAGUCAGGGAUAUGAAAGUUCAAAAGUGUUGCUUUUUAUCAUGGUAAGAACAAGAAAUAUCAUGUUUUGUAGGCCGUACGGGCAUCGAAUUCACCGAGACGCGAGUGUAGCAGCAGGACAGAGCCAAGUGUCACUGCAACAGCAGAGGAAAGAAAGUCGUACACACUUGGAAUGACAUGAGGAGGGUGAAAGUCAGCAGAUGCAGAGAAGCUGAAAGUCUGCAAGCGUUACUCUGGAAGUAUGUCGUGGAUUGUGGUAAGUCACCUCUAGAUCUUUUUUUUCUCUCAUGAGCCAUCAUAAUUAAAUGCAUCUGACAGUCAAAUAAAUUAUGGACGGGAUUUAAUCACGCGCUCAUCAGUCAGCGACGUCUUUCAAAAGGAUUUAUCUAAACUUUCACAGCAGAAACAUGUCAUUACAGACAUUCCCCUGCUGUGGGGAACGUGUUCAUGAAAGAUUCGUUCGAAACAUGAGCAACCAGGCGUCAUGAACAUAGCCUGUCAUCAGAAGCAGUAUCAUGGAAAAGAAAGUGAUUUCUCUUGGGAGAUUCCUAUGCCGGACUCGGAUGAGCUGAAGUAUUCAGUGCAAUGGAUCCUGUGUUAGUCACAGUCAAGGUACUUCACUGAUCCAUCGUGGGUUGUCAGGAAACAACCCUCUUUUUGUUGGAAAAUGGCAUCUUUGAUGGGUGUUUUUUGGUGCCUGAUGGGUGCUUUGAGGACGGCGAUUGCGUUAUGUGACACUAUGUGGGUGUUCUCUGCAUGGGGACCAUUGCUCAUCUGAAAUUGUUUUUUGCAGGUUUGUAACUGCAAGCUGUUGAAGUAAACAUGCUGGAGAUGCGCUCUCAUAUAGUCUUGAUUCUAAUGAGGCCCAAAGAAUGAUC